rnacentral:rRNA from 1 species
GCGGAUCUCGAAAGCCUGUCCCAGUUCGGACUGGAGUCUGCAACCCGACUCCACGAAGUUGGAUUCGCUAGUAAUCGCGCAUCAGCCAUGGCGCGGUGAAUACGUUCCCGGGCCUUGCACACACCGCCCGUCAAGCCAUGGGAGCCGGGGGCGCCUGAAGUCCGGGACCGCGAGGACCGGCCUAGGGCGAAACUGGUAACUGGGGCUAAGUCGUAACAAGGUAGC